UACGUAGGGCGCGAGCGUUGUCCGGAAUUAUUGGGCGUAAAGAGCUCGUAGGCGGCUUGUCACGUCGGGUGUGAAAGACCGGGGCUUAACUCCGGUUCUGCAUUCGAUACGGGCUAGCUAGAGUGUGGUAGGGGAGAUCGGAAUUCCUGGUGUAGCGGUGAAAUGCGCAGAUAUCAGGAGGAACACCGGUGGCGAAGGCGGUUCUCUGGGCAUGUCCUGACGCUGAGGAGCGAAAGUGUGGGGAGCGAACAGG
rnacentral:rRNA from 1 species